CUCAUUCCCUAAUCCUCACAGCCGCCACGCCUCCUGCUCCCACACCGGCGCCGCCUCCUCCAUCUCCCUCAGCAACGCACAGCUCCUCCACCUUGCUGGAUGCGACGCCCCCUCCCCCCUCCCCCUAAACCCACAACCCCGCCGUGGGGGCACGUCCGCGGCGGCUGCCCUUCCACGCCGUCUCCGUCCGCCCCUGCCGCUCCGUUGUCUCCUCCGUCUCUGCCUCCUCCCCACAGCAAGCGCCGGGUCCGGGCGAUGGCGACGAUGCCAACGGGCCCACCGGCGUGCCCGUGCCCUUCUCCCGUGAAUCCGCCAUCGCGCUGCCUCGGCCGCUGACGAGCGUAGAUCUGAUGGGGGAGGACAGCGGGGAAGGCCUCAGGAUCUGAAUGAAAUAGGGCAUCCAACCAUCUGGUUCCAUUAUUUUGGGAGCCUUGACUGAAUAUGUUUUGAGCCAGAGGUGUCAAAAUGAACACUGACGGUCACGGGAGUCCCUCGGGGGCAUCCGAUAAAAUACUAGCUCAGGGAAAAGAUCAAGUUGAUUAGAAGAGAUUCGCUGACGGAGUUUCUUCCAAAAGCUCGGGUUGACGGGGAGAGACGACACUGCUAGUUUGCUGAAGUGGUAGGUUACCAUUCAGGGUGAUCGACGAGGACUACUGCGGCCCGAUGGGAGUCGUGCUCUUCAACUACUCGGAGGCAGACUUCACCGUGAAGCCCCGCGACCGCGUCAUACAGAUUAUCGUCCAGGUGAUUGCGACGCAGGAGGUCCCCGGGGUGGAGGACCUCGACGCCACCGUCUGGAGGUCACCGAGGUGGAGGACGACACCACCGUCUGGAGGUCACCGAGGUGGAGGACGACACCACCGUCCGGAGUUCCUCAAGGUGGAGGACCUCGACGCUUUGUACAUACAUCUAGAGAAGUGGUCUGGUUAGGUUGGUGGUGAAACUCUAGUGAAGGUACCAACCUUUUGAUGAUGGUUGUGUGUGUCCUUGUGAUCUCUUCGAGUUGAGAUGUUGAAUGUUGCAUCCAUGAACACUACAUGUGUUAAGAUGGUUCUGUGAAAUUUAUUUUGCACUA